rnacentral:rRNA from 1 species
AAUGGCCUAACGGCUGAACCAGCAAUUUGGGGGAAUGUAUAGUGUAAGCUAGUUGUAUUAAAAUUAUGUAUAAUACAAUAUCGAUGCAGAAUAAAGUUCUAAAUAGAUUAAUGAUAAUGACAAUUUUCUAUUUAUAUGUCUUGACCAAAUCACGUGCCAGCAGUCGCGGUAAUACGUGGAAGACUAAUGUUAUUCAUCUUUAAUAGGUUUAAAGGGUAACUAGACGGUAUUUCUAGCCAAAUAUGGUACGGAUUUACUAGAGUUUAAUGUGAGAAGGCAGUAUUUAUGGUGUAGAGUUAAAAUUCUGUGAUACCUUAAGGACUGGUAACGGCGAAAGCAGUCUUCUAUGUAAAAACUGACGUUGAGUGACGAAGGCCUGGGUAGCGAUAAGGAUUAGAUACCCUAGUAGUCCAGGCAGAAAAUUAUGAAUGUCAUAAAUUAGAUUUUUUUAGUUUAUAAAUGAAAGUGUAAGCAUUCCACCUCAAGAGUAAUGUGGCAACGCAGGAACUGAAAUCAUUAGACCGUUUCUGAAACCAGUAGUGAAGUAUGUUAUUUAAUUCGAUGAUCCGCGAAAAACCUUACCACAAUUUGAAUUUAAUAUUUUAACAAGCGCUGCACGGCUGUCUUCAGUUAAUGUCGUGAGAUUUUGGUUAGUUCCAUUUAAUUAACGUAAACCCUUACUUUAUUUAUUUUUUAUAAAGUAGUCCACCUUAAUACUGGAUAUGGUAAAAGGGACUAAGACAAGUCAUCAUGGCCUUAAUAUUGUGGGCUAUAGACGUGCCACAUAUGCCUAUACAAUGGGAUGCAAAAAUGUGAAUUUUAGCUAAUCUCUUAAAGUAGGAUAUAAUAU